GACGAACGCUGGCGGCGUGCUUAACACAUGCAAGUCGAACGGAAAGGCCCUGCUUUUGUGGGGUGCUCGAGUGGCGAACGGGUGAGUAACACGUGAGUAACCUGCCCUUGACUUUGGGAUAACUUCAGGAAACUGGGGCUAAUACCGGAUAGGAGCUCCUGCUGCAUGGUGGGGGUUGGAAAGUUUCGGCGGUUGGGGAUGGACUCGCGGCUUAUCAGCUUGUUGGUGGGGUAGUGGCUUACCAAGGCUUUGACGGGUAGCCGGCCUGAGAGUGUGACCGGCCACAUUGGGACUGCGAUACGGCCCAGACUCCUACGGGAGGCAGCAGUGGGGAAUAUUGCACAAUGGGCGGAAGCCUGAUGCAGCAACGCCGCGUGCGGGAUGACGGCCUUCGGGUUGUAAACCGCUUUCGCCUGUGACGAAGCGUGAGUGACGGUAAUGGGUAAAGAAGCACCGGCUAACUACGUG
rnacentral:rRNA from 1 species